ensembl:snoRNA SNORD22 Small nucleolar RNA SNORD22
UCCUUGUGAUGUAGUUUGCACACGUCCAACGCCCUGUGCCUGCGCCAGAACCUGUGAAGGUGAACCCACUGGUGUUGCCAGGGUGUCGUGGGGAUGACCUGUUGGGGCUUCCAACCGUCUGAUUGGAC